UCGAGAAUCUUCCGCAAUGGGCGAAAGCCUGACGGAGCGACACCGCGUGCAGGAUGAAGGCCUUCGGGUCGUAAACUGCUGUCACGCUAUAGGAAUAAGUCUUCGGACUCUGACCAAAGCGAAAGGAAGCACCGGCUAACUCCGUGCCAGCAGCCGCGGUAAGACGGAGGGUGCAAACGUUACUCGGAAUCACUGGGCAUAAAGCGCACGUAGGCGGCUCCCUAAGUCUGAUGUGAAAUACCCCGGCUCAACCGAGGAAUUGCAUCGGAUACUGGGGAGCUCGAGAAAGGUUGGGGUGAGUGGAACUCCAGGUGGAGCGGUGAAAUGCGUAGAUAUCUGGAGGAACACCGAUGGCGAAGGCAGCCCCCUGGGCUAACACUGACGCUCAUGCACGAAAGCGUGGGGAGCAAACAGGAUUAGAUACCCGGUAGUCCCUGAGCGGGCUGGCAAGGCGCAU
rnacentral:rRNA from 1 species